rnacentral:rRNA from 1 species
GACGAACCGUGCGAACGUUAUUCGGAAUCACUGGGCUUAAAGCGCGUGUAGGCGGGAUGGCACGUCGGUCGCUGAAAGCCCCCGGCUCAACCGGGGAAGGGGCGCCGAUACGACCGUCCUGGAGGGACGUAGGGGGACCUGGAACUUCCGGUGGAGCGGUGAAAUGCGUUGAGAUCGGAAGGAACGCCCGUGGCGAAAGCGAGGUCCUGGACGUCUGCUGACGCUGAGACGCGAAAGCCAGGGGAGCGAACGGG